rnacentral:rRNA from 1 species
ACUCUUAUGAGGCCCCGUAAUUGGAAUGAGAACAAUCUAAAUCCUUUAACGAGGAUCUAUUGGAGGGCAAGUCUGGUGCCAGCAGCCGCGGUAAUUCCAGCUCCAAUAGCGUAUAUUAAAGUUGUUGUGGUUAAAAAGCUCGUAGUUGGAUCUCAGUUCGAGUCAGGCGGUCCACUUGCCAGUGGCUACUGCCUGACUGAACACUUUACCGAGUUGUCCCAUGGUGUUCUUCACCGAGCGUCAUAGGCGAUCGGUACGUUUACUUUGAAAAAAUUAGAGUGCUCAAAGCAGGCGUAACGCCCGAAUAAUGUUGCAUGGAAUAAUGGAAUAGGACCUCGGUUCUAUUUUGUUGGUCUUCGGAAUCAGAGGUAAUGAUCAAUAGGGACAGACGGGGACAUUCGUAUUGCGGCGCUAGAGGUGAAAUUCUUGGACCGUCGCAAGACGAACUAAAGCGAAAGCAUUUGUCAAGAAUGUUUUCAUUAAUCAAGAACGAAAGUUAGAGGUUCGAAGGCGAUCAGAUACCGCCCUAGUUCUAACCAUAAACGAUGCCAACCAGUAAUUCGUCUGAGUUCCUUAAAUGACUCGACGAGGGACUUCCGGGAAACCAAAGUCUUUCGGUUCCAGGGGAAGUAUGGUUGCAAAGCUGAAACUUAAAGAAAUUGACGGAAGGGCACCACCAGGAGUGGAGCCUGCGGCUUAAUUUGACCCAACACGGGAAAACUCACCCGGCCCGGACACUGGAAGGAUUGACAGAUUGAGAGCUCUUUCUUGAUUCAGUGGGUGGUGGUGCAUGGCCGUUCUUAGUUGGUGGAGUGAUUUGUCUGGUUAAUUCCGAUAACGAACGAGACUCUAGCCUACUAAAUAGAUCGUCGGCUUACAAACGCCGGCGAGACUUCUUAGAGGGACAGGCGGUGAUUCAACCGCACGAAACAGAGCAAUAACAGGUCUGUGAUGCCCUUAGAUGUCCGGGGCCGCACGCGCGCUACACUGAAGUGAUCAGCGUGCUUUUUCAACCUACUCUGUCAAGAGUGGGGAACCCAAUGAACCUUCUUCGUGAUUGGGAUAGGGGAUUGUAAUUAUUCCCCUUGAACGAGGAAUUCCCAGUAAGCGCGAGUCAUAAGCUCGCGUUGAUUACGUCCCUGCCCUUUGUACACACCGCCCGUCGCUACUACCGAUUGAAUGUUUUAGUGAGGUCUUCGGACUGGCCGGCGCAGCACUCUCGUAGUGCAGCGCUGUGUUUGGAAAGAUGCCCAAACUUGAACAUUUAGAGGAAGUAAAAGU